AUUGAACGCUGGCGGCAGGCCUAACACAUGCAAGUCGAACGCGUCGCGGACGUGUGUGUAAUGUCUGGGAAUCUGCCCGCUGGAGGGGGAUAACUACUGGAAACGGUAGCUAAUACCGCAAACCAACAGGUGUUCCCAGAUGGGAAUAGCUAGUUGGUGGGGUAACGGCUCACGAAGGCGACGAUCCCUCGCUGGUCUGAGAGGAUGACCAGCCACACUGAAACUGAGACACGGUCCAGACUCCUACGUGAGGCAGCAGUGGGGAAUAUUGCACAAUGGGCGCAAGCCUGAUGCAGCCAUGCCGCGUGUAUGAAGAAGGCCUUCGGGUUGUAAAGUACUUGCAGCGGGGAGGCGUUACCCGCAGAAGAAGCACCGGCUAACUCCGUGCCAGCAGCCGCGGUAAUAC
rnacentral:rRNA from 1 species